AUUGAACGCUGGCGGCAGGCCUAACACAUGCAAGUCUAACGAGUGGCGGACGGGUGAGUAAUUUCUGGGAAACUGCCCGCUGUCUGUGGAUCACUACUGGAAACGGUAGCUAAUACCGCCUACCAUCGGAUGUGCCCACAUGUGCUUAGCUAGUAGGUGGUGUAACGGCUCCCCUAGGCGACUAUCCCUAGCUGGUCUGAGAGGAUGACCAGCCAAACUGGAACUGAGACACGGUCCAGACUUCUACGGGAGGCAGCAGUGGGGAAUAUUGAACAAUGGGCGAAAGCCUGAUGCAGCCAUGCCGCGUGUAGGAAGAAGGCCUUAGGGUUGUAAAGUACUUUCAGCGAGGAGGCGUUACUCGCAGAAGAAGCACCGGCUAACUCCGUGCCAGCAGCCGCGGUAAUUC
rnacentral:rRNA from 1 species